GAUGUUUUCUCGGUUUAACAACAUGCGGAAAUAAGCUGUCUCAUCUGGACUGUUGUUAAAGACCUGCACAAACUGUGACCGUCGAAGAUUAAACAUAAACUGAGGGAACAAGGAAAAACAAGGGUUCAAUGCAAAAGAUGAUGGAUCAUCCUUCCGAUAGUCACCAAAUUUGGAACAGAGCCGAAUCAGGUUCCGGUCUAACCACCGAGUGGCAUCAAAUCCUUCCUCUGUCUCCAUUUUCAGAGAUGUUAUUCUUGCCAUCACCACAGCAGCAGUCUCUUGGUCAAAACCU
rnacentral:misc_RNA from 1 species